rnacentral:lncRNA from 1 species
CUCGCCGGGUCGCUCGUGGGCUCUGCCGGCGCCGCGGCGUCCUGGCUCCCGCUGGGUGGGGCUUCCUGGGCGGAGGCCGCCGCCCCUGGGCGGUGCCGGAUCCAGUCCGCUUGACCUUAUUCCCUAGCUGCUGUCUCCGGCCCCCUGAACCCGUACAGGGUUGGGGAAGUGGGGGUGGCUGGAGGAAGCGCGCGCGGGGCAAGCCAGUGGGGCUGAGGAGGCUCCCGGGCCCGGCCCCGCCCAGUCUCCGCCCCAGCCAGGCCCGACCCGCCCUCCGAAUGUCUUACAGCUGCCCGCCCCAGAGUAAGGCCCGGUCGGUUCCCGCGCGCUCCCAGCUCCGUGCCCGCGAGCGACGACUGGAAGGGCUGUCCUUGCUCAGCGGCUUUUGGUGAUCUCUCCGCCCUAGAAGAGGGCCACCUAAAAGCGGGUGCGAGAGGAGAGUGGGAGGGCCUCCUCUUGGUGUCCCCAGGCCACCUCAGCCCGGAGAGGUGGCGGAAAACCAGACUUGAUGCUUUAACACGUUCAUAGCAAUCGCUUUUUACUGAAAGGAGUUUCUGUAUUUAGCGCUGUGUAAUUCUGUGGAAACGUGCAUUUCUUGUCUUUGCGGGAGAGCUGUUCUCUGUGGGCGGAGACCUUCAGUCCCACCCCUCCCCAGGAGGCGCCUGCGGACCCUUCCCAACCUGCAGUCAAGUUGACCAAGAACUGACUGCAAGGUGCUGGUGGCUCUGGGAUGAGAGCCUUUUGGUACUUACAGGGAAUAUGACUCUUCCCUUAGAUAUCAAAUGGACCCAAUAUCUAGGGAGCAGCUUCUUCUCCAUCCAUCUGACCGUUCCGUUGUGAGAAUGCUGGCCCAAUAACAUACUCUUUUUUUUUCCCCUAAAGGAAUAAAAAAAUCUGUAUUUUUAAGAUGUCAAAUCUCCAGAGUUUUUAGAUGUUAGCAACUGAAUCAGAUGUUUUUAAACUUCAUGAGCUGAUUAAACCACACAGAUGAGCUGUCAGUUUACGACCCCUGGCUUGGCUUGGAGGAAAGAGUGAAGAGAAAUUCCAUGGCCAAAUCCUGGGGCACUCCAAUAUUGGGAGGGUAAUGGAGAAGGAGUCUGAAAGGCAGCAUCUAGGAAGUCAUGAAAGCUAGCGCUGAGUUGUGGAAUCCCUGGGCAGAGAAGGUUUCAGGUAGGAGGCAUCAGCUGAGCGGUGUGAUAAACUUGGGCCAGAGAUGUGGCUAUUGGAUUGGGUCACCUUGCAAGUCACUGGAGAAUGUCACUGAUGGCCUUGGCUUGAUUCACGUGAGUAUAUCAGGGAGGUGGACCUGACCGGAAUGGGUUAAACAGUCACCAGGAAAGUGAGGAAAUGGAGACAGCACAUGUAUGCAAUUUGAGAGAGGUUUUGCUGUGAAGGGACCAGAUAAGUUUGGGGAUAGAUAUAGAAAGAAAUCUUUUAAAAGAUAGUAGGGGCCGGGCGCAGUGGCUCACGCCUGUUAUCCUAGCACUUUGGGAGGCCAAGGCAGGUGGAUCACCUGAGGUCAGGAGUUCGAGACCAGCCUGGCCAAUAUGGUGAAACCCGGUCUCUACUAAAAAUACAAAAAUUAGUUGGGCAUGGUAUCGCGCGCCUGUAAUCCAAGCUACUGGGGAGGCUGAGGCAGGAGAAUUGCUUGAACCCGGGAGGCAGAGGUUGCAGAGAGCCAAGAUUGGGCCACAGCACUCCAGCCUGGGCAACAAAGCGGGACUCCAUCUCAAAAAAUAAUAAUAAAUAAAAUAAAAGAUGGUAGGGUUCCCAGAGCAUGUUUAUGUGCCAUUGGGAGGGAUAUGGUGGGGAAGAAAGAUGGGUGAUCCAGGAGAGAGGAGGCUUGCUUGACCUAUAUAGGAGUGAAAUCCAUCAGAAGAUAUAAGGAAACAGGGAGGGUUGACCUUGGAGAGGAACAGGGAUGCUUCCAUUCAUGAUAAGGGCAACAAAGGUGAAGACAGAUGCAAGUGCAGGGGAGAGGGAAGGCAAGUCCUUAACAGGAUUGCCUUGGUGGCAUUGGGUACUCAUCUGAGGUUUGUGAUCAUGAUGUUAAAGGUAAACCAGUUGGCCCAGUGUGUUGGUUUUUCUCCAACAUUCAGCUGCUUGGGUACAGACAUGAAGAAAAGGGAUAGUACAGCUUCUCAACACCAGGACCCAAUUUUUCUCAUUUCUUUUUUUUUUUUUUGAGACGGAGUUUUGCUCUUAUCGCCCAGGCUGGAGUGCAAUGGUGUGAUCUCAGCUCACCACAACCUCUGCCUCCUGGGUUCAAGCGAUUCUCCUGCCUCAACCUCCUGAGUAGCUGGGAUUACAGGCAUGCGCUACCACCCCCGACUAAUUUUGUAUUUUUAGUAGAGAUGGGGUUUCUCCAUGUUGGUCAGGCUGGUCUUGAACUCCCAACCUCAGGUGAUCCGCCCGCCUCGGCCUCCCAAAGUGCUGGGAUUACAGGAGCGACUCACCGCGCCCGGCAAGUUUUCUCAUGUCUAAUCCCAGUUACUUACCUUAUACAAUUAGAUACUAUUUUAGAAAUGUGUGAAGUAUUUGAAAAAUUUACACGUGACCCUUCUUUUUCUAGAAACCAAGUUAUCCCAUUUGCCUCUUAUGUACACAUUAGGACUCAGACAUAAAGAAAAGACAAACUCAGAGGAAAAUUACCAAACAGAUGCUUCUGGAAUAUUUGCAUUUUGCAUUCUCCUCAGCCCAAAUAGUUCCUGGUAUACUUAAGAACUUAUGUACUAGAAACAACAAAGCUGACAUGCACAUAGGGAGACCUUGUUUAUACAAAAAAUUUAAAAAUUAGCUGAGUGUGGUGGCGUAUGACUGUAGUCCCAGCUACUUGGGAGGCUGAGGUGGGAAGAUCGCUUGAGCCCAGGAGGUCGAGACUACAGGGAGCCAUGUGUGUGCCACUGUACUCCAGCCUGGGUGAUGAAGCAAGACCCUGUCUCAAAAAAAUAAAAAAUAGGCCAGGCACAGUGGCUCAUGCCUGUAAUCCCAGCACUUUGGGAGGCCAAGGUAGGUGGAUUACUUGAGCCCAGGAGUUUGAGACUAGCCUGGGUAACAUGGCAAAAGCCCAUCUCUACAAAAAAUUAGCUGAACAUGGUGGUGUGUACCUGUAGUCCCAGAUACUUGGGAGGCUGAGGCAGGAGCAUCACUUGAGCCCAGGAGGUUGAAGCUGCAGUGAACCCCGAUUGCACCACUACAUUCCAGCCUGAGUGACAGAGCAAGACAUUGUCUCAAAAAUAAAAAAAAAAUUAAAAGCUGACUUGCAUUUAAACUUUAGAUUUUCUUUCUAGUAACAUUAAUAAGCUAAUUAGUUCACUUUCUCAAGAUUUUACUUCAAAUCACCUUCCUUUUUUUUUGUUUUUUGUUUUCUUUUUGUGGAGAUGAGGUCUCACUGUGUUGCCCAGGCUGGUCUCAGGCUCCAGCAAUUCUCCUGUCUUGGCCUUCCAAAGUGCUGGGAUGUAAGCCACCACACCUGUCCCCAUCUUCUUUAAGAGUAGACUACAGGAACACCUUCUAAAGCUUUUAUGUAGGCAAAUAUGAAGCAGUGGAUUUAUUUUUUUAUUUUAUUUUAUUUUUAGAUGUAAUCUCACUCUGUCGCCCAGGCUGGAAUGCAGUGGCUCGAUCUCAGCUCGCUGCAACUUCUGCUUCCUGGGUUCAAGCAAUUCUCCUGCCUCAGCCUCCCGAGUAGCUGGGACUACAGGUGUGCACUACCACUCCUGGCUAAUUUUUUGUAUUUUUAGUGGAGACGGGGUUUUGCCAUGUUGGCCAGGCUGGUCUUGAACUCCUGAUCUCAGGAGAUCCGCCCACCUCAGCCUCCCAAAGUCUUGGGAUUACAGAUGUAAGCCACCACACCCAGCCUGAGGCAGUGGAUUUAGAGGGAAAAAAGCCUCAAUUAUAUUUAUGAUUAUAUUUACAACUAUAUAUUAAUUAUAUUUAUAACUCUAUGAUCUCUGAGGCAUCAAAAGCCAGGAAUGGGGUCCAAGUGGCCUUGAAGCCUGCUUUCUGAAGACAAGGACCCUAUGUACUGCUCUCACAUAGGGCUGAGAAAAUGCGAAGGAUCACUAAGGAAGGAAGAAAAGAAAAUAUUUUCUGGCUGGGCGUAGUGGCUCACACCUGUAAUCCCAGCACUGUGGGAGGCCGAGGCAGGCGGAUUACCUGAGGUCAGGAGUUUGAGAUCAGCCUGGCCAACAUGGUGAAACCUCAUCUCUACUGAAAAUAUAAAAAUUAGCCAGGCGUGGUGGCACACCUGUAAUCCCAGCUACUCGGGAGGCUGAGGCAGGAGAAUUGCUUGAACCUGGGAGGUGGAGGUUGCAGUGAGCCGAGAUUGCGCCACUGCACACCAGCCUGGGCGACAGAGCGAGACUUCAUCUCAAAAAUAAAUAAACAAACAAAAUAUUUUCUUGUCUUUAUGGUAAAUCUUGAUGUGUCCUACUUUAUGGAGUCAGCUCCAAAGAUGAAGGAACAGAAGGCCAAACAAAAGGAAUAGAAUGUUUGAGGCUGGAAAGAAACAAGCUGAGGGAAAAUAUGAUGACAGGCUGUGAAACAGUUGAGGUGAUAAAAAUAAGGCUAGGCUGGGCACGGUGGCUCAUGCCUGUAAUCCCAGCACUUUCAGAGGCCGAGGUGGGCGGAUCACUAGGUCAAGAGAUUGAGACCAUCCUGGCCAACAUGGUGAAAUCCCGUCUCUACUGAAAAUACAGAAAUUAGCUGGGUGUGGUGGCGUGUGCCUGUAAUCCCAGCUACUCAGGAGGCUGAGGCAGGAGAAUCGCUUGAACCUGGGAGGCGGAGGUUGCAGUGAGCAGAGAUCGCACCACUCCACUCCAGCCUGGCGACAGAGUGAGACUCUGUCUCAAAAAAAAAAAAAAAAAAGAUCUGGCCUUGAGCCUCACGUACAGGACCAGAAACCCAAUGUGGUUUGUACCCUAAGAGCAGAUUCCUUCCUCGGGGAUUUGUCAGGCUCACAGGCGCUUGCUAGAUAAGCAGAGUGCUGUUAACAACGGGCAAGUGGACCAGUGUCCUCGUGCUGGCAAAAGGCAUAUUGAUCCCCUAUAGGAGAGCAUUCGGGGAAGCCAAAUUACUAGAAAUAUUUGAUGAGCAGUUAAUUAGAUUAACUAGUGUUAGUUAUGUAACUUAAAUGUUUAAUGUCACCCUCUCUGGAUGCUAGAAUUAGAUUGUUCGGGAUUCAAGUCUAGUCUUGGUUUUUUAUUAGCCGUGUGGUCUCUGUUGAAUUCGUAACAACUCAACUAUAGAUUUCUCUUCUAUAAAAUGGGAUGAUAGGUUGGGCGUGGUGGCUCAUGCCUGUAAUCACAGCACUUUGGGAGGCCAAGGCAGGUGGAUCACCUAUGGUCAGGAGUUCAAGACCAAAAAUACAAAAAUUAGCCAGGUACGAUAGUGGGUGCCUGUAAUCCCAGCUACUCAGGAGGCUGAGGCGGGAGAACUGCUUGAAUCUGGAAGGCAGGGGUUGCAGUGAGCCGAGAUCGCGCCACUGCACUCCAGCCUGGGUGACAGAGGAGACUCUGUCUCAAAAAAAUAAAUAAAUAAAAUGGGAUGAUCAUUGUGCUUGAUACAGCCAUAAGGAUUAGACAAGAAAUAAAGCAGCUUUUUUUUUUUUUUUUUUUUUUGAGACAGGGUCGCAUUGUCCACUGUUGCCCAGGCUGGGGUGUGGAGUGCAGUGGCGAACUCUGCUCACUGCAACCUUUGCCUCAGCAUUCUGAGUUGCUGGGACUAUAGGCGAGUGCCAACACACCUGGCUAAGGUUUUUUGUUUUUUGUAGAGAUGGGGGUCUUACUAUGUUGCCCAGGCUGGUCUCGAACUCCUGGUGUGAAGCAAUCCUCCUACCUCAGCCUCCCAAAGUGCUGGGAUUACAGGCAUGAGCCACUGCACCCAGCCAGAAAUCAUUAUCCUAUGAUUCUCAGGAGAACAGUUGUAUUUCCAAGAUCUUCCUUGGCUCCUAUUGUUACCCCUGUAAAGCUUGCAAUAAUUAUGAUCAUUUACAUGUUUUUUAAAAACUCUUUAAUCAAGAUAAUCAACAAACGAAGGGGAGACAUAUUGAUUUUCUAAGACAUAAUGAGCAGGGAAUCUUCCUGCCCUCCUUGGGGUAAGGCCUAAAGUUACAUGUGAACACUCUGGUUUUCUCUAUACCUGUUGAGAACAUGUGUGAGACAUGAUGCAGCUCAUCAAGUAAUUAUUGAAUACUUGGUGUGUGUAGCUUCCUGUUCUAGGCACUGGAGAUUCAAAGAUGACUCACGAUGUGUUUCCUGCCCUUGGACUCAAAAUUUAACUAGUAAAACUGGUUAAAACAAACACACAAAAAAUUAAUGCAAUAACUGUUAUAGUGGAAAGAAAUGAGCUCACAGCUAAAGGAGUAAAUCACUCCAGGAGUAUCUCAUUUCAGCUGGGUCUAAAGGAUUAGCAAAGCAUUAACAAGUGACACGAAGACAUGUAAGGUGAAGAGCCAUGAUCAAAGGCAUAAAAGUCUACAAGAGUAUUUGGGGGACAGCGAGUCAUCUUACACCAUUGGAUGAGGGUGUAGAGUAGUGAUGCUAAACCUUUAAAGACAUUUGGAAAGCUUUCAUUGUCUGCCAACAUCAACUGCCAAGCCUAACCACUUCUAACAUUUAAAUUUUUUUUUUCCCCAAGAUGGAGUCUUGCUCUGUUGCCCAGCCUGGAGUGCAGUGGUGCAAUCUUGGCUCAUUGCAACCUCUGCCUCCCAGGUUUAAGCAAUUCUCCUGCCUGAACCUCCCAAAUUGCUGGGAUUACAGACACGCACCACCAUGCCCAGCUAAUUUUUGUAUUUUUAGUAGAGAUGGGUUUCACCAUGUUGGCCAGGCUGGUCUCAAUCUCCUGACCUCACGAUCUGCCUGCCUCGGCCUCCCAAAGUGCUGGGAUUACAGGCAUGAGCCACCAAGCCCGGCCUAUUCUAACAUUUUAAAGACUCAUCCUUCCAUAUCAUCUCCUGCCUAGACUGUAGGAGUUUUUUUCCUUAUUAAUGUCUGCUUUCUUCAGACCCCUGUGAAAGCCUUAUUUAUUUAUUUAUUUAUUUAUUUAUUUAUUUAUUUAUUUAUUUAUUUUGAGACGGAGUUUUGCUCUUGUUGCCCAGGCUGGAGUACAAUGGCAUGAUUUUGGCUCACCACAACCUCCACCUCCCGGGUUCAAGCAAUUCUCCCGCCUCAGCCUCCCAAGUAGCUGGGAUUACAGGCAUGCGCCACCAUGCCCGGCUAAUUUUGUAUUUUUAGUAGAGACGGGGUUUCUCCAUGUUAGUCAGGCUGAUCUGGAAUUCCCAACCUCAUGUGAUCUGCCCACCUCAGCCUCCCAAAGAGCUGGGAUUACAGUCGUGAGCCACCACGCCGGCCUAUUUAUUUAUUUAUUUAUUUUGAGGUGGAGUCUCGCUGUGUCGCUCAGGCUGGAGUGCAGUGGCGAGAUCUCGACUCACUGCAGCUUCCGCCUCCCAGAUUCAAGCAAUUCUCCUGCCUCAGCCUCCUGAGUAGCUGGGACUACAGGUAUGUGCCACCAUGCCCAGCUAAUGUUUUUGUAUUUUUAGUAGAGAUGGGGUUUCACCCUGUUAGCCAGGAUGGUCUCGAUCUCCUGACCUUGUGAUCUGCCCGCCUCAGCCUCCCAAAGUGCUGGGGUUACCCCGGCCAGCCAUAUUUAUUUUUUACCUCUCAGCUCAAAUGACUGCUCUUAAAGGUAUAAAGGACUGUUGCUAAACCUAUAUCCAAUGUUUUAGAAGUUGAUUUUGUUUUCUGUGCUGUUACUUACUUUUCCAAACAUGCAUGGAUCACCCUUUAUAAUCCAUCUCUAUAUUUUUCAUUUUGCAAAACACCUUCAUGUCUGCCUUUUCAAGUGAUGCUCACAGCUCUAUUUGAUCAGCCAGGCAGUUUUGUCCUAAAUUCAGAAAUGAAGUGACUUGCUCAGGGUUGUCCGGCAACUUGUUGGCAAAAUCAGAAUGAGUACAGUAGUCUCCCCCUUGUUCACAGCUUCACUUUCUGCUAUUUUCUGCUAUUGGUUACACAUGGUCAACUGCAGUCUGAAAAUACUAAAUGGAAACUUCCAGAAAUCAUGUUUCGAAUUGCACACCAUUCUGAGUAGAGUGGUGAAAUCUCACAACAUCCUGCUGCAUACUGCCUGGAAUGUGACUCGUUCCAUUGUCCAGCAUACCCAUGCUGUAUAUACUACCCACCUAUUAGCCACUUAGUAGCCAUCUCAGUUAUCAGAUUGAUAACACUUUAAAUGGUUGAAUUGCAUGGUAGGUGCGCUAAAUCUCAAAAAGAGCUGUUUAAAAAAAAUAAAAAGGCUGGGUGUGAUGCCUCAUACCUGUGAUCCCAGCACUUUAGAAGGCCAAGGUGGGAGGAUCACUUGAGGCCAGCCUGGGCGACAUAGUGAGACCACCUCUUUAGCAGGGCAUAGUGGUGUGUGCCUAUAGUCCCAGCUACUUGGUAGGCUGAGGUAGGAGGAUCCCUUGAGCCCAGGAGUUCAAGGUUACGGUGAGCUAUGAUCAUACCACUGCACUCCAGCCAGGACAACAGAGCAAGACCCUGUCCCAAAAACAAAACAAAACACUUGGACCAAGUUCUAGAGGGAAGGCACCCACCUCAGACCUGGGUGGUUACCCAGUAAAAUUGUCAGCAUAUAUUAUGAAUGUAUGUUCCAGAGGGUACAAAGUAAAUAAGCAAUUGCAGGCCAGGUGCGGUGGCUCACGCCUGUCAUCCCGCACUUUGGGCGGCCAGGGUGGGUGGAUCACCUGAGGUAAGGAGUUUGAGACCAGCCUGACCAACAUGGAGAAACGCCGUCUCUACUAAAAAUACAAAAUUAGCCGGGUGUGGUGGCACAUGCCUGUAAUCCCAGCUACUCGGGAGGCUGAGGCAGGACAAUCGCUUGAACCCAGGAGGCAGAGGUUGUGGUGAGCUGAGAUCACGCCAUUGCACUCCAGCCUGGGCAACAAGAGUGAAACUCUAUCUCAAAAAAUAAAUAAAUAAAUAAAAUAAGCAAUUGCAAUGAAGUGUGAUUAGUCUUAUAGAAGGGAAAGCGCAGGCUCCUGUGACAAGAGCAGGUGGGCAUGCAGCUUGCUAAAGAAAUAUAUGGGCCAGGUGCCGUGGCUCACACCUGUAAUCCCAGCAGUUUGGGAGGCUGAGGCGGGUGGGUCACUUGGGGUUAGGAGUUAGAGACCAGCCUGGCCAACAAGGUGAAACCUCGUCUCUACUAAAAAUACAAAAAUUAGCUGGUUGUGGUGGCGGGCAUCUGUAAUCCCAGCAACUCCAGAGGCUGAGGCACAAGAAUUGCUUGAACCCGGGAGGCAGAAGUUACAGUGAGCCGAGAUUGCGCCACUGCACUCAGCCUGGGCAGCAGCGCAAGACUCCAUAUCAAAAAAAUAUAUAUUUAGGGCAUUUAAUUGGGAGGAUUCUGAUGGCUGGGAUGUGGGUACAGAGGAAAGAGUAAGGAUGAGGCUCUGUUAUAUGGCUUGGGUACCUGGGAAAUUGGUAACCCCUAGAGCUGUUGGAGGAGAAACAAGUUUUGAGAAGAUGUUGAGUCUGAUUUUGAGCAUGUUGAGUUUGAAAUGCCCCAGAUGUUCAAAAGGAAGUGUCCAGUGAGCAGCUGGAUGUGGGGGUCUGGAAGCAAGGUAAGAACCAUGUGAAUGAUUGGCAUGCAGCCUCAGCAUGUGGAUGGAAGCCAGCAGAAUGGGGAGGUCAUCUAGGGGUAUGUUUUGAGAGAGAGGAAAGGGCCUAGAAUGGAACCCUGUGGGGCGAUUUUUAUUUUUUAAGUAGAGACAACAUGGGGUUUCACCAUGUUAAGACAUGCCUGAGGAGGAGGAGAAGGUUGUAAGGAAAUUAAGAGGAGACAGUUAGAAACCUAGGUGUUGCGUAUAGCAAUUCAGCUGCUCUCAGUCAGCAUUCACUGAGUGUCCAUAUGCCCUGGGUGUAUCUGGAGACAAGUGAGACUUGACCCUUGACAUUAAACUCAGAGUAGUGGCCAUCACCCAAUUGCCGUCAACCUUCUGAAACAAGAGACCCCUUUCUCGCAGGCCAAUGUCAGUCCUAUUUUCUAAAUGAUAGAUUGUGCUUCAUUAGCAGUUUAUAUGAGGCACUGGAGUCCUUCCCAAGCUUACCCUCCUGUAUCACCCAGGCCCAGAAAAGCCAGGCCUUGCAGCCAAGCCAAGAGCCUUCUGUCCAUGGGAGAUGGAUGGCCUGAAAGGGACACUCCAGGAUUGUCUGGGGUGGGGAGGGGGGUAUGGAGGGAAAGGAGGGUCAUGUCAUAUGUCUGGGGUUCAGCAAAUUGUACCCACAUACCAGGCACAGAAACAUACAAGGAAGGCACCCCCGCUCUGUGGGCGAGACAAAGCAGCAAUCCUCUUCCCACAUGCCAACCCAUCUUUUUCUUUGCCUUCACAAACGUGCCUUUUUUCUUUCUUCUUUUUUUGGUCCUCUGCAGCUUGGAAUACAUGAGGAAGAAGAGUGGGAGACAGGAGGAAAGGGCUGGGCCGUGGGAGUGCUGGCCAACGUGCCAGGCAGGGAGGACCUGAAUUCCUGAAGGUGGUGGUGGCAGCUGUUAGGGUCCACAGGUUAAUGAUCUCCAACGUCACACAGAAGAGAAUGUGCUGAGGUGUGACCUCCCUCACCCUGCCUUGGCUGCGUGGGGCACCGUCUCUCCAGGACUCACCCUGCCCCCCAAUAGACUGAAGUCUGAAGAUCAGCCCAGUCUUCCUUCAGGCCUCAAUGCCCUCUCACUUCCCCAGCCCGAGGGACUCCUGGCUCUUCUCGGAGGCUGCUCUGUGGGGUCCCUCCCUUGGGCCUUUGCUAAUGCUGUGCCCUCUGCCUGUGCCAGAGGUGGGCCUGGGCCCGUUUCUCAGGGAGCUCCUGAACACCAAGAAAUUGAAUUGCUUUGUAAAUAAACAAAAAGUGCCAAACAAGCCUGCCUGUCACUUGGGAGAUGGCCCGUCUCUGCCCCACCAAAUUUGCUAAUCAAACAAAUAACCUAAAAUAGAAUAGAAAGAACUCAUCUAGACUUUUCUUGUACCUCUGCUCCCCAAAC